GAAUUACUCACCGCUAUCACAGUUUUCUAACAUUAUUGUCUCUCUUCUUAACUCAUUCUCCCUUCUCAAACCUUGCAUUGCCAUCCUCUCACUCUCUGUCUCUCUCAUCUCCCUCUCUCAGUGAAAUCUUUAAUCCCUGUCAGUUAGGUUUAUCUCCCCCCAUAACUCACUAGAGCAGAAAUACGCAGCCUGUUAUUAUUUUAUCCACAUACAUAUCAUAAUCUACUGAUAUCACACAUAGAAACACAUUUCCGUAAGUUCUUACAAUACAUACUCUUUAUAUACACACAUCUAUGGCUUGACAGUCGUUGAGAUGUAACAGUGAAACAGAUAAAGCAAAGAAUGAGACCAACGAAACAGGAGAUGGGAAACUGCACUAAAACUCAACGGAAGAAAAUCGCCAAGGUAUGAGAAAUAGCCUUUGGUAUACAUUGUGGGGUUUAUUCACUAAGCGGGGAAAUGUGGAGAAUAGACGACGGAAAUUUCAAAUUGUAGGCCGAGAUAAAAAGCGGGAACAGAACAGAAUAAAUACAUUCUUGAUUUAUUUAUUUUUUUUCAAUUAAGAUAUUUUGGUCUAGCAUUUGCGGUUACCUUGACAUCUCUCCACAGUUCUCAAUUUAGCAAAUAAACUCCUUUUUGCACUGAAAGACAGAUUGGCGUGAUAUGAUAUUCAUUAUGUAUAUGUGAGAUGGGAACAGAAAAAGAGAGCAAAACAGAAACUUAUAGAAGGUCAAAUGAUACAACAAUUACAGGAAACAAAAUAUACACAUCUGUUUUUUUUAAAGUUAGCAUGCUUGAAAUAUGGUAAUGCGUGCAGGUGUUAUUGACUGAGGUAUUACAGGUUUUAAAACCAACCAUUAAAACAUGCAUAUGCAGAAUUUUAUUUAUUUUUUUCAAAGAAAGCUGGGGAUUUUUUUUUUAAAUUGGACAGAUGUGUGAAACCGAGUUUUAAAGCCUAGUGGGAUAAAUUGUAUGGUUAAAAGGAUUCUUUAGCUUGUUGGAAUGCUCUAUCUGUACAGAGAGUCAUAUUUAUUUAUAAAAAAAAACAAAAAAACUUUUUUUUCUUUUUUUUUUACAAAAAGCAAAUAUUUUAAUAGAAAUUGGAAGUUUUAAAAUUAACUUUUUACACCCCUGCCCACAAGCAGACUGCAUGUCCUGUUGCUUACUGAUUUCUUUAACUCAGUGGACAGGGAAUUGCCCAGAGCACAUGUGUUGCAAAAACGUAUCACUGAACUGCAUUUGGAAGUAUGUGAUUGGACAGCUAUAAAAAGUCUGUGAUGGGGAGGGCUCCAAAGGCAAGAGAACUGCAGCUUUUGCAAGCUGUUUUUAGAUAUACUCCCAAUGCAAAAUGCAUUAUAAAUGUAUACACGUUUGUAUUUUGGGUAUAUCUGAUUUAUUUAUUUUUUUAAUCUGGUUAGUGGCUUGUCUUUUUAGGAAAACACGUGAAAAGAAGGAGAUUAAACCUUCUUCAAGCACUGAGAAAACAGGAGUUGAAGAAAACCUUAAAAAAACCCAAGCUCAAUGAAUAAACAAAAUAAAAACAAUUUAGAUACAUUUCUAAUCCUUAUUUGCAUUGCUGUUAUGCAAUUUAGGGAAUAGAAAUGUUAUAUACAAAGGCAAAGACUUUAAAGAUCAGUUAUCUUAUUCCCACACAUCACUGCAAGGAAACUUACAAUUUGCUCACUGUUUUAUUUUAAUUGUUUUGGUUGGGUAGUGGGUUGUGUUCCCAAUCCAACUACAUUGUAAUUAGGAAUAUUAUUUUAAUGUAAAAUUUUAAUGGAUUGAACAUUGGUAACUCCAGGCCCAGACUGGUCAUCAGGGACACUGGGCCCAGUUGGUCUGGCUAAUAUAAUAUUUGCAGUAUCUCUGUCCCUUCUGCAAAGCUGUCUGAAUUUCGGCUAACUGCUUAGGUCAUUCCUGCACCAGCUCUCUCUUGCAUUUGUUCAGCAAGUAUUAUUUAUAUAACUGUACAUUUGACCAUUAAUGUUUUUUUACUGAAAGUGUAUGACGACAGCUAACCAAUAAAGUGUGCAGCUCUGCAGGUAAAAAUACAGGGAUAUUUUGGUCCCACUCUGGUCCAGUGAUAAACUGUUUUUUAUUUUAUCUUCACAAUGAAUGUAAUAUAAUAGGAAGAUAAAUUAUAUUGUCAUUCCAUCUGCAUUAUCUAUAUUAUGAAAGAGAGGGAAGUAAUCGGACAGGCGAUUUUGUUUCAUCCACUACAAUUUGACAUAGUAAGUCUCUCCUCUCUCUCCCAUCAGGAUGGGAAGUCUUCCCCUGUGCACUUCGUACCUCUAUCACCCUCUGACCUAGGGGCAGAAAUUGUGGAGAACUGGCCGCGGCCAUUGCAGAGCUUUGCAGCGCUGCAGAGUCUUGCGGGGACUGCAUGCAUCUUCCUGCGCCACAGCAUCGCUAUCACUCAGAUCG